rnacentral:rRNA from 1 species
GUGUCAGCAGCCGCGGUAAUACGGAGGGGGCAAGCGUUGUUCGGAUUUACUGGGCGUAAAGGGUGUGUAGGCGGCCGCGCAAGUCUGGUGUGAAAUCUCCGACGCUUAACGUGGAGGGGUCACUGGAAACUGCGCGGCUCGAGUAUGGUAGAGGCAAGCGGAAUUCCUGGUGUAGCGGUGGAAUGUGUAGAUAUCAGGAAGAACACCGGUGGCGAAGGCGGCUUGCUGGGCCAUCACUGACGCUGAGACACGAAAGCGUGGGGAGCAAACGGGAUUAGAUACCCCGGUAGUCCACGCUGUAAACGGUGCGCACUAGUUGUGGGAGGUAUCGACCCCUCCUGUGACGAAGUCAACACAUUAAGUGCGCCGCCUGGGGAGUACGGCCGCAAGGUUGAA